rnacentral:rRNA from 1 species
GGGUUAGUCGGGACCUAAGCUGAGGCCGAAAGGCGUAGGAGAUGGACAACAGGUUGAUAUUCCUGUACUACCGAUAAACGGUUGAGAGAAGGGAUGACAAAGUAGGAUAAGCUAAGCACACUGUUGGCUAUGUGUGCCCAAGCAUUGAGGAAGUCAAAGUAGGUAAAUCAGCUUUGACAAUGCUGGGAUGUGAUGGGGAGCGAAAUUU